rnacentral:rRNA from 1 species
GACGAAGUGGUUGAUGCCAUGCUUCCAAGAAAAGCUUCUAAGCUUCAGGUAACCAGGAACCGUACCCCAAACCGACACAGGUGGUCGGGUAGAGAAUACCAAGGCGCUUGAGAGAACUCGGGUGAAGGAACUAGGCAAAAUGGCACCGUAACUUCGGGAGAAGGUGCGCCGGCUAGGGUGAAGGAUUUACUCCGUAAGCUCUGGCUGGUCGAAGAUACCAGGCCGCUGCGACUGUUUAUUAAAAACACAGCACUCUGCAAACACGAAAGUGGACGUAUAGGGUGUGACGCCUGCCCGGUGCCGGAAGGUUAAUUGAUGGGGUUAGCGCAAGCGAAGCUCUUGAUCGAAGCCCCGGUAAACGGCGGCCGUAACAAUAACGGUCCUAAGGUAGCGAAAUUCCUUGUCGGGUAAGUUCCGACCUGCACGAAUGGCGUAACGAUGGCGGCGCUGUCUCCACCCGAGACUCAGUGAAAUUGAAAUCGCUGUGAAGAUGCAGUGUAUCCGCGGCUAGACGGAAAGACCCCGUGAACCUUUACUGUAGCUUUGCACUGGACUUUGAGCCUGCUUGUGUAGGAUAGGUGGGAGGCUUUGAAGCGUGGACGCCAGUUCGCGUGGAGCCAUCCUUGAAAUACCACCCUGGCAUGCUUGAGGUUCUAACUCUGGUCCGUAAUCCGGAUCGAGGACAGUGUAUGGUGGGCAGUUUGACUGGGGCGGUCUCCUCCUAAAGAGUAACGGAGGAGUACGAAGGUGCGCUCAGACCGGUCGGAAAUCGGUCGCAGAGUAUAAAGGCAAAAGCGCGCUUGACUGCGAGACAGACACGUCGAGCAGGUACGAAAGUAGGUCUUAGUGAUCCGGUGGUUCUGUAUGGAAGGGCCAUCGCUCAACGGAUAAAAGGUACUCCGGGGAUAACAGGCUGAUACCGCCCAAGAGUUCAUAUCGACGGCGGUGUUUGGCACCUCGAUGUCGGCUCAUCACAUCCUGGGGCUGAAGCCGGUCCCAAGGGUAUGGCUGUUCGCCAUUUAAAGUGGUACGCGAGCUGGGUUUAGAACGUCGUGAGACAGUUCGGUCCCUAUCUGCCGUGGACGUUUGAGAUUUGAGAGGGGCUGCUCCUAGUACGAGAGGACCGGAGUGGACGAACCUCUGGUGUUCCGGUUGUCACGCCAGUGGCAUUGCCGGGUAGCUAUGUUCGGAAAAGAUAACCGCUGAAAGCAUCUAAGCGGGAAACUUGCCUCAAGAUGAGAUCUCACUGGGAACUUGAUUCCCCUGAAGGGCCGUCGAAGACUACGACGUUGAUAGGCUGGGUGUGUAAGCGUUGUGAGGCGUUGAGCUAACCAGUACUAAUUGCC